CUUGGGAAUCUGGAGGUCUGCAAUUUGCUCCCCACUCCUUCCUUCCUUUCUUCACUGAAUAUUUGCUUAUUGGAUGGAGAGCACAUGUCCAUGCCUCUGAACUGCAGGGCCUCACAGACGCUUGGAGAGCACUUUUUCCUGCUUGCAUUCAUCUAUACCUGCACCUCCACUGUUGACGUUGUGGCUGAAUUGUCAGGUAUCUGGCAAGGAAGAACAUCAUGGAGGAAUGGAGGGGUGGAGGAGAGCUGUUCACCUCAUGAGAGCUGGAGAGCAGAGAAACAGAAAAAGAGCCAAAGAGUGAUGGAGCCAGGUAUUUCUUCAAUUUCAAGAAUUUAGAAGUGACUUGGCUGGAAGUUUCCGCAUUGGAGACUCUCACAAAGUUGCAUUCAGAUGGUGGUUGGUUCCAAAAACAUUUCAAGGCUUCUUCACUCACUUGUCUGAUGGCUGGGUUGGGGAAGAGGACCAAAGUCACUUCAUGAAAUGAGAUAGACUGUCACAGUCAUCAUUGAAAAAGAGGUACACAGUGUGGUGUACUUUUCAUUUAUUCCAUUCUUGUUUUUUGGGUAUCAGCAUGAUUUUAUAGUUUCAUUUGUAUAGGUUUUGCACAUUUCAUGUUAAAAUUAUUCAAAAUGUUAUAAUUGUUGUUUUGUUUGCAAUUGUAUUAUUUUCCUUUUUAUUUCUAUCUUAUAUUUGUUACUAUAAUAGACAGCU
rnacentral:lncRNA from 1 species